AGUCGUAACAAGGUUUCCGUAGGUGAACCUGCGGAAGGAUCAUUACCGAGUGAGGGCCCUCUGGGUCCAACCUCCCACCCGUGUUUAUUUUACCUUGUUGCUUCGGCGGGCCCGCCUUAACUGGCCGCCGGGGGGCUCACGCCCCCGGGCCCGCGCCCGCCGAAGACACCCUCGAACUCUGUCUGAAGAUUGUAGUCUGAGUGAAAAUAUAAAUUAUUUAAAACUUUCAACAACGGAUCUCUUGGUUCCGGCAUCGAUGAAGAACGCAGCGAAAUGCGAUACGUAAUGUGAAUUGCAAAUUCAGUGAAUCAUCGAGUCUUUGAACGCACAUUGCGCCCCCUGGUAUUCCGGGGGGCAUGCCUGUCCGAGCGUCAUUGCUGCCCUCAAGCCCGGCUUGUGUGUUGGGCCCCGUCCUCCGAUCCCGGGGGACGGGCCCGAAAGGCAGCGGCGGCACCGCGUCCGGUCCUCGAGCGUAUGGGGCUUUGUCACCCGCUCUGUAGGCCCGGCCGGCGCUUGCCGAUCAACCCAAAUUUUUAUCCAGGUUGACCUCGGAUCAGGUAGGGAUACCCGCUGAACUUAAGCAUAUCAAUAAGCGGAGGAA
rnacentral:misc_RNA from 1 species